CUGGAGCUGUGAAACAAAUCCUGAGCCACGGGAUGAGUGUAGACUUGAGACUCCAGAGUUUGGGAUCCUGGUCCAGAUCAUGCCACUGCUUACCAAGUAGGGUCCUGCCUACCAUAAUCCAGGAGGUGGUCUUCCAGACAUUAAAUAGGAUCAUGAAAUCAAUGGCGUGAGCCUUCACAAACUGAUAUCAUAUGGAAAUGCCAGCUCAGAAGAUGUGGUGAGCUUUGAUAAUUCAGGAAUUGACUGACAGAAGGAGGACCUCAUUUGGGCAGAAUGGCUCCCAAAACCCAGUUGUGUCUCUGGGUGUGUAAGCCCAGCAGCAGGCAGUGUGUCAUCGCUGUGUCAGUUCUAUGGUGUGAUGUGCGGAACUGGUACUGGAAUGUAGACAUCAAGGCUGGUUCUUCGGCUCUCCCAAAGGCCAAAGAUAUCUAUUUAAAUAUCAUUUAAAUAAACCCCUUUAUUGCUUAAAUCAUCUAUAAUUUGUUUCUGUUGCAUAUAAAUAAGCAUUUGAUGAAUCCGUUGGGCACCAUUUAAAGAAGUGGGUCUUAGCCCUGGCUGCACAUCAGAAUCAAAUUCCAAGGGAGUGGAGGGGACCAGGGGUUGAAAUGUACUGAUGCCCAAUCCCAGACAGAUUGACAGCAUCUCCAAGGCAUUGGUAGUAUUUAAAAUUUCCAAAGAUGAUUCUUUUUUUUUUUUUUUAAUUCAGUCAGGGUUGAGAACCGCCAGAUGAGUUUGGUUUCCUGGUGGUCCCAAU
rnacentral:lncRNA from 10 species